GCUUUCUUAUUGGAUCAUUACUCCACUACGUAAGAGAUAACACAGCUUACUUAAAUUGUUAUGGGAAUAAGACUGGUUUUAACAGACAUAAAAAGGCAUAUCUACUCGAAUUGCAAGUACUUUGGGACAUGUGACAUGUUGAUACAAAUUAAUUUAUCAAAAUAAUUGACUUAUAAUAAACUCUAUUUACUUCCAAGAGUGUAUUCGUAGUAGCUCAAACUUCAGUGAUGAAAGUUGCAGAAUCUUUAGGUUUACUAACACUAGCGUAGAAAGAUCUUUUCUUUUCUCCUCCUCCCGCACAGCUUCACCCUUUCCUGUGUUAUCACUAAUGUUUACCUAGUGCACAAAGGGAAAACAUAUGCGCACAAGGGUUUUCAAGAUGAAAUCGAAUAUCUUUAGUUGAAGAUAGUUACUGGGAUUUUUGUACAUAUAUGUAGCAAAGAAAAGCAAAUUUCUGCAUAUAUCCACAGUAAAAAUAUUAGAAGGAACAGCGCUUAUCACCCUCGCCAUUAUAAAAGCAUCAUUAUCGAAACCUUAAUAUUGAUUUUGUUUCAACAAUUUUCCGUUUAACAUUGCACUCAAUUUGUUUUCGUCAGAAUGGGACACUUAUUUCAAGCUUGAAUAUUUGAUGGUAGUAGCUAAUUGCUGUGUGCACAACUUGAAAUUGAAGACCUAUCAAAGCUAAUGUGGAAAACGAUAUUACUGGCUCAGCGUGAUGAAAUCCAUUUCAAUCGCCGCCGCUUGAAGACACUUUUUUUUAGCAGUAUUGGGUAAAAUCCCUGGCGAACAGAGAUCGGCGACUCACUUUCAAUGCAUAAAGUUGUCAUCUCCUUUUCACAUGUCAAUAUCUUUAAAAAAUACAAGAGCAUCAACAUAUCCAUUCUUUCUCUUUUUUAUUAAGUCUGUUUGACUUCUCAUUCGUUAAGAAUACUGUAGAUCGGAUCGGACAACUCUAUAGCAUUCAUGUGUAGAAGAAAUAAAUACUUGAAGUUCUG